ACACAUCACACACAAUACACACUACACACCACAUACCACACAACACACGAGACACAAAUACACACCAUGAGCGAUACAUACCACACAAUACACACCACAAGCACAUGCAGCACGCACAGCGUACAGACCAUGUGCACCCACAUCACACACAGACACCCCCAGCUUCUGCCAUGGCCCAGCCCGGCAGGCACGAGAAGGGCAGUUCCUCCCGCCCCCCUUGGGGCGGAGGGUGCAAUCAUGGAGCUGCUUUAGUAACCGAAGGUCAAACACUGUCCACGUUUAAACACAAGGCAGCCACAGCAGCUGCUCCAGGCGGAUCUCCAAAGGUGUCACAGUGAGCAGCCUCCCACAGCACUGCCCUCCUGUCCCAAGGGCCCUGCCCCCCCGUCCGCUCCCCUCCCCUUGGCAUGAUCCACGCAGGGACCUGGAUGGUGCCCACACAGGCUCCAGCACAAGCGCCACAUCCCGGCACAAGGCCAUGGGCACCUCCCGGCGCACCCACCUCCCUUGGCCAGAAUCGCCUAGGGGAGGGCAGGGAAGCCCCACCACCAGCUCUCGCCUGGGCUGGGCCACUCACCAGCACAUGACCAGGCAGGUCGCCUCCCUCUCAGAGCCUCAGUUUCCCCUCCGGAAGAUGGCCAGGACCUGAAUUAACAGGGGAGGCAGACCAGCCUGGACUCACGCUUAGCCUCCCUGUGGUGGGCGGAAUAAGAUCAUGAUUCCGGAACCUCACGUGGUGAAAGGGGGACGUUCAGGACGCUGAGAUGGGAGAAGAUCCCAGGGCUCCUGAUGUCAUCACCAAGCUCCUCAAUGCUGAGCCAACCUCCCUCUUGGCCAGAAGUAGAUGUUGAUUAUGGCAGCAGAGGUUAGAGACACGCGCUGCG
rnacentral:lncRNA from 1 species